AUCCGCCCUGCUCACAUGGCAUUGAUUUUAAAUCAAAAUAAUGUCGAAUCAUUGUAUAUGUGAAUUAUAGGGCCCAUGGUUUGAUUAUGCAGGCUGUUGAUCCGAUGGGUGCUCGAGAAAAUCUCCAGGUGAUAGGUUGAAAGGUUAGGUUCAUCCAACCUGGGAGUUUUUGGAGAAUCCCGUCCACAGUGGGGCCUAUCAAGCCAAUGAUCUGGAUCACAAAACCACGGGCUAUAGAAUGGCUUUUAAGAUACAUACCUUCACUGAGAACAAGAACAAGAUCACUAUCUAUAACCGUGUGGAUUCUGUGUGCUAUGGUUACCACCGUCCGAUCCUUGAACUCCUGACGAAUGAUCUGCUGUAUAAC